UAGUGAGAUGGUCCUCAACAUGAAGACGUGGGGUGGAUUCUCAGAACCCUCAUGGUGGAGAAAGAGGACCGACUCUCACAUGUGGUCCCCAGCCUUCUGUAUGUGCACAAUGGCAUCCUUACAUACACUAAGGUUAUGUGUUGCCCCCUCCCUUCCCAAGGCACACACUGGCAGGAAUGCAGUUAAACUCCACUCUCCGACUUCCCGAGGCCAAGUUCCGUCGUUUUAUCCCAGAAGAGGCUUUCAGCGCAGAAUCGGCUAGAAACUCACUGCCACAGACAUGGUGACUGCAGAGAUUCGGAUCCAGGGGGACAUUCAUAGCGUGAAGUCUCUGCUGAGCAACUUCCGAUUCCAUGACUCCGAUGCUGGGCUUCAUGACCACCAUGCCACCCAGGACCGUUCCUAUGACGUCAUCACUGGCUUUGGAAAGAGAAAGACUGGAAUUUUUGGUGGGCUUUGCGCCCUCUGCUGGAUAGCUGCUGAAUAGCCUUUAGCCUUCUGCAGCAAUCUGAUUCUCACCAGUGUGGCUGGAUUAAUCUCCUUCUUACCAGUGAGGUUGGAUUGUGGUUCCUGUCGAGCGCUCCCUGAUUCUGGCCACAUUCAAGGAUUUAUACUCUUGCGGCCUGGGUCUUUACAGGCACUAAAACUUUAUCUCCAGUUCUAACUUUAGGACGAGAAAUUGUUUAAAAGUUUGAAACAAGGGACUAAAGAGAUGGCUCAGCAGUUAAGAGCACCGAGUUAAAUUCCUAGCACCCAUAUCUUGUGGCUCUCAACUUUCUGUAACUCCAGCUCCUCCUUGGGCCGCUGCAGGCAUCGUACUCGUGUACAAACUCACACUCAAACACACUUAUCUACAUUGUUAAAAAUAAAAUUAUAAUGCCGGCUUUAGUCCCUGCACUCUGAAGUCAGAGGCAGGAAGAGAUCUGUGGGUUUCAGAGCUCUGUAUAGUCCAGGCAGGACUCUAUAGUGAGACCCCAAACAAACAAAAUCAAACCAAAGACAAAACCCAAUAACAAACACCCCUUCAAUGAAAUAUGAUAAGUAAACAAGCAAACGAACAAAUUAACAAAGGGACAUUUGAAACAAACAAAUGAUUUUGUUUGAUGUCUGUUUAUGGGCAUUCUCGGUGAAUUUUAAAAAACCAUGUAGGUUUUGUUUGGCAAACAUUU